AUGAAGGCAGCGGGAGAGACUACCUGUAACACGGGGCGGCGCCGAAGGAGUAAGCCCUGGGGACAGGGUGAAUCUCUCAGGCAAAAGGACCUUUGCCGGACG
rfam:Paenibacillus sp. D9 Scaffold1, whole genome shotgun sequence.